CCUACGGGCGGAAGCAGUGAGGAAUAUUGGUCAAUGGGCGCGAGCCUGAACCAGCCAAGUAGCGUGAAGGAUGACUGCCCUACGGGUUUUAAACUUCUUUUAUAAAGGAAUAAAGUGAGGCACGUGUGCCUUUUUGUAUGUACUUUAUGAAUAAGGAUCGGCUAACGCCGUGCCAGCAGCCGCGGUAAUACGGAGGAUCCGAGCGUUAUCCGGAUUUAUUGGGUUUAAAGGGAGCGUAGAUGGGUUGUUAAGUCAGUUGUGAAAUUUUACGGCUCAACCGUAAAAUUGCGAUUGAUACUGGCAGUCUUGAGUGCUGUUGAGGCAGGCGGAAUUCGUGGUGUAGCGGUGAAAUGCUUAGAUAUCACGAGGAACUCCGAUUGCGAAGGCAGCCUGCUAAACUGCCACUGACAUUGAUGCUCGAAAGUGUGGGUAUCAAACAGGAUUAGAUACCCUGGUAGUC
rnacentral:rRNA from 1 species